rnacentral:tRNA from 1 species
GGAGAGGUGGCAGAGCCAGUUGAUUGCGCCCGCCUCGAAAGCGGGAAGUUGCGGUGAGCAACUCGGGGGUGCGAAUCCCUCCCUCUCCU